CAAUAGCGUAUAUUUAAGUUGUUGCAGUUAAAAAGCUCGUAGUUGGAUUUCGGGUGGGACGCAGCGGUCUCGCAUUGCGUUUGUACUGCUGCAGCCCUCCUUCUUGCCGGGGGCGGCCUCUCGGACUUCACUGUCUGGGGGUCAGAAUCGGCGAUGUUACUUUGAGUAAAUUAGAGUGUUCAAAGCAAGCUUACGCUCUGAAUAUAAUAGCAUGGGAUAACACGACAGGACUCUGGCCUAUCGUGUUGGUCUAUAGGACCAGAGUAAUGAUUAAGAGGGACAGUCGGGGGCAUUCGUAUUCCGUUGUCAGAGGUGAAAUUCUUGGAUUGACGGAAGACGAACAUCUGCGAAAGCAUUUGCCAAGGAUGUUUUCAUUGA
rnacentral:rRNA from 1 species